GCUUAAAGCCAUUCCCCCUUGCACAAAAUCCCUUUCUAGUUCUCCUGAAAUCCCUUUAAGCGCUUGAAGUGGCUCUAAGGUCUUCCCAAAACCUCUUCUCCAGGCUGAACAACCCCAACUAUCUCAGUCUGUUGCCACCCUUCAAUCUUUCCAUGUUUUUUACCUGUGAUUACAGUCUCUGUGCAUGCCCUCAGUGGCCAGGAUGCCAAGUUUAAAGCCUUUUGCAAAUAUUUCUGAAAUAUUUUUGCAGUUAGAAAAUACAGAUGUAAGAUAAACUCUGAGCUGACCAUCAUGUUUCCUUCUACAGGACAUGGACACCAGCCAGAGUUCCUCUUGCAGCAGUGCAUUGAACCAAUCAAUUUCUGUGAUUUUGAAGCAGUGUUAAUCUAAAGCAACGAGUUCUGAAUAAUGUUUAUUAACUAUAUUUUAAUGACUUGUCAGUUUUCUAAAACACAUGCUGAAGUAUUUUAGAAAUCACUUAGUAAAUGCAGUUUUAAUUCUGCUCCCAUAUUCAUGGGCUGCUACUUACUUUAUAAAAAAAAAAAGAGAUUAGAAGGUUCAGAUUUGAAGCAGCAAAUUGCUCUGCUAAUCUGCAGGUAUUUCUCUCCUUGAUACAGCCACUAAUGUCUAAUCUUAGCAACGCAGGCUCCAUCAUUGUGCUUUUUCAUUAGAGCUGCAAUGAACUGUGUGCCAGGGACUUGAACUCUGGUGACAAGCUGCUCCGAGCCUGCGAGCUUUCCCAGGAAAAUGUUCUGUGUGAGUCUAAAAUGAUCCUGUUAAGUUUGUGUAAAAGAUGGGGAGUUCACCUUGUGAGCUCUGGUAGGAGCAGGGUGCCUGUGAACCUCUGGGCAGCGUGGGGUUAGGGCUGGCCACAGACAGGAGUCUAUGCCAUGAAAAAUUUUCAAGACUUUUAAUUUGUUUCCAUUUCUCAUGAGACACAAAAAAGAAAACCUUGAGAAUUAUAUAUUUUUUUUUUCCUGCAUAAUGUCGUGGAGCAAGUCUAUGGAGCACAUCUUUCCCUCUGGAUGCUGUCAGCAGUGCUGGGAAUGUCUUCAGAGUUGGGAUUUGGACCUGGACCUCCCGCCAUCCCUGGGCGUGUUCAUCAGGCUAUGGAUCUGGAUGUGCUCUGCCUAUGAUCUGGAUGUGGCUGGGGUUUCUCUGUCUGUUCCUCUGGCAAAUGUGAUCUGAUUCAGUCUUACAGUUUUGAUGUCUCAGACAAAUGUCAGCACCUUUACAAGAAGCACAUUGACAAGUGAAUGAGACAAGCAAGUGGGCUGGAGAAGAAUCUGCCUCCAGUAUUCUGAUGGACCUCAAGGACCUGUGUCUGGAGAUAGGAGAACUGCUGCAGGAUGGGAGGCACACAAGCAUUGCUGGAUCAAAGACUGGCAGCCAAGGUGAGAACUGAUUUCUCAACACACUAAUUUUAAAACUCAGUAAGUUCAACUCUUACUGGAGGUACUUCAGUUUAAAAUUCUGCGUUUCCCGUGCUGGGUGCUUUUAUCCCUCUUCCAUGCAUGAGGCUGGGAUAAGCAGGAUUUUGGGGAGGGCUGAUGCGCUCACCUCCCACUCUGACUGAGAGCUGCAACUCCCACGACCCUUUUCCUGCAGCCCACAGGUUGUAAGGAGUGCUCAGUCCCAGCAGCCCUCUGUGAGACUGUACCUGCAUUAUUUAUUAGCCAGCAGACGUAACUCUGUCCCUUUUUUCAUCCCAGCUUUAGUGACUGUGCAUUCAGGGUCAGUUCACUCACCCCUCUGCACACUGUGGAGGGUGAGGAAAGGCAGAGAUUUUCCAUGUCUGCUCCUUGGCUGGCUCUCAGCACGCUUCCCUUUCAGAUUUGGGGGUUUACAUGGAUCCUUAGGCAUUUGUGAGUGAAAUUAAAGUGUUCCUUGCAAAGAGGGAGAAGAACUUGCGUGGAACAUCAAAGCAGGUGGGCUGAUCUGAGCAGAGGGGUAUUCCCACACAAUCGGUCAUUCAACAUCAAGGCCCAGAAUUUUAGAGUUUUGCUAUAUAAAAACAACUAAAUAAGCAAAACAACACUGAAAACUGCAAGGCAAGCUUGCAAACCAGUCCAUAUGCUCUGACAAUGGAGCUAAUUUUCUUUUUAAUAAUUCCAACAGCAAUUCCUAAUAAUCAGCUGAUCUAAUUUAGAUUUGCAUUUUGUCUUUUCAAAGCUGUCCUAUUAAAAUAGUUGAGGAACCUUGCCUUUAAAAAAUGACGAUAUUAUCCUGACAGCCUGGGACUGCUGUUGGAGAAAAGAUUUUUGCCUGAAAGAGUUUCAGGAAGUUACAAAACUCCUUUACAUGGCCUGUUGGAUCUGUGUAUGAUUUCCAACAUUACACAAAAUAAAUACCAGGAGACUGGUGUGGUUUGUACAAGAGUUUAUAGAGAAAAAAAUCCACCCACCAGCUCCCUUGCUGAGGAUUACAACCAGGUCUCUGCUGCCAAGUUCUCUGUUUAGGUAAAGCAUGAGAAAAUCUACCAUUUUUUUAGAGUCACAAAAGGGGUGCUACAGGGGGGCAGUGAGAAGUUGACAGCUCUCGCUGCUUAAAAGGCAGCUGUUCCUUCUCAGGUACUAUUAUUAAUAAACCCUAAGGUAAUGUUUGCUCUGAAAUAUGUCUAAUUGAAAUAAUUUACCCUAACCCUUAGAGAAUUAUGAAACUGUUUUCAUCAUGUUCACACACAGCAAAAUAAUUAUGAGAUGCCAUAUGGAAAAGACAUCAUGUGGUAUAUGUAUUUCUGAAUGUAUACUUUUUGAAAUGGUUCCCACAGAUAAAUCAUACAGCUAAUUUACAAAGAGGAGGUGGAUAGUAGUUCUUAAGUAUGCAGUUUAAGUUUAAAAUGGUUUCAGGCUGGGUAAAUUUACAGUGGUGAUGACAUGCAGUAAUUGCACUGAUCACAGGAUGUAUAUCACAGAAGAUGUCGAUAAUGCCAUUAAGUUACACUGCACAAAAUGGAGCAAGAAAAUUCUGCUGGUGACUUUCUGCUAUUGCCAUAAACCACCCCACAGAGCCUCUGCAGGUCCUGUGUGGUCCUGAGCUCGUUUUGCAGCUGAUAUGUACCUGACCAAAGCGCUGGAAAUGGUGCUCCAUCCUCUGUGAGUCUCUGAGCUGUUCCUGGUUUACACUUGGAAAGCUCUCAGCAAAGGCAAGGAUCUCCUUAAUAUAUAAAUUAAUACACUUAAAUACAGAAAUUUAUUUUGAAUGAAGUUCUCAAGCGAGCAUCUGUUAAAACGCUGCUCCUUUCUGUCCAUCCCUUGAAGGUUUUCCAGAAGGUUUUUUCCUGACCUCUAGUUACCUGCAUUAUCUUGUACAUGGAUGAGGUAUCUCUAUGCUUUGAUGUAUGCAGGUUUGAUUACAUACAGACAUUCACAUGCAGAAGAAUUCUGCAGGGCACUUCUUGGUCUUUUUCCAGGAGUAAUUGUGGUGGCUGAUGAGACAUCUGAGGUUCUCUUCCUGCUAGUUAAAAAGUUUUGAAGGUGCUUUUUGAAUAAGGAACUCUUAUUAACAUUUCUAGAAAUCUGGCUGGAAAUCAGGCUGUCUUGUCAGACUUCUGGUAGUUCUUGGAUCCAGAUGGAUGGAAGUAAAAUCAGAGAAUAUGUCAUUGCACCCUCGCUGUUUCAUGUCCCAUUGGAAACCAGCAAGGGACAGCGACAUAAAGCGAUUUCAUUCUGUCCACUCCACUCUCUUUAUCUUUAAGGAUCCUUCCAAAAAAAAAAAAAAAAAAACAACAAAAAAAAACCCCCACAAAAACAAAACAGCAAUUUUGAACUGGAGCACUUUAGAUUUGCCUGUGUCUGAAUUAGUUCAUUAUUUCUAUGGUGAUUAGUGAAAUAUUUGAAAGAUGUGGAGUACACAAACUAAUUCACCCUCAGCUCUGUUUUGCAAGAACUAUAGGCACACACGACAGCUGCGAUGUUUAUCCCCCAGUAAUGACAUCAUUACUCUGCAUUACUGCUCUAGGUAGUGUAUUUGUCAACAGCCAGGAACUGAUGAGCACAAGGAAAAUAUUUACCCAACUCCUGUGCUGUGGCAUUACCCCAGUAAUGCCAUUUCAGGAAGAUCACACUGCAUUCCCGAGAUUCGUGCUGCAGAAACCAAAAAAGCUUUGACAUUUCCGUGCGUGUAACACCCGUCUUCAAAUAACCACCUUUUACAGACAGUAAUUACAGUAAUUCUGCUUUCAAAGGACAAAUAAAAAAUAAUAAAUAAAAAGAAGUGGAAAAGCGAUAUUCCUCACAAAUAUCUAAAAGUGGGAAUUUUCCAAUACCUCCCUGCGUAUGGAGUGCUGGGGACAUCCAUAUUUGAUGUCUCCCUAAUCUUCCCAGGAGUAACUACAUGAACCAAUAUUUACUCUCUCUGUCUGUACAGAUACAGUGUCUGAAAUGCUGCUGCUGCUGCAUUAAUGUGUGAGAAUUUAAACUGAGCUUUUCUGUCUCAUCCCUGGGAGCUGCCUGCACAGGAGAGGUCUCACCUCGUGCCUUCCCCUUCUCUGUUAUUCCUGCUCUUGGAUGAGAAAUGUGAGGCUCUUUCCCCGUUUCUAAUGUUGCACAGAUGAAAAGACAAGUUCCCCUUUUAGCAACUUCCAGUCAUUUGUUUUUAUGCUCACCGAAGGUGUAUCACGGUUGGUGUUAUUGCAGUGCCCUAAACCAAAAGUCACAUUUUUUUUCCCGUGAGUUACAGUAGAUUAUUAUUUCACUACAGUAUCUGAAAGCAUGAAAUAGAGAUUUAUGAUACUCUUGUGUUUUCCACUUCAAUUCAUGUAAUGUGGGGAAGGUAAAGUGUCUCUAGCUGCACAGUAUCCCUUUUUUUCUCUUUGGAGCAGUGUGUGCUGUGUGAUUAGAGGAUAGUGAGAAGGUCACUGACCAAACUUUAUCUUCCACACAGUUUCCCACAGAAUGUAUUCCUCCUAGGGAACAUUUUCUCAGCUCAGGUUAUUUCCAGAAAUGUUCUCAAACCAUAAGAGCAGUCCUUGCAGUAAAACAUUUCAUUCCCACUUUUUAUCCUUUAUCUAGCAGUGCAGUGUUGACAGCAUUUAUGUUUCUUCUAUUGACUGGGCCAAGAACAACAGGAUUAAUGAGGUUGUCUCUUCAUGAGUGCAUUAUGUUUUUUUCCUCUGACCUUUCAAACAUGGGAAUCUUCUGUUUGCAAUAUUUCUUAAGGAAGGAAAACCCCUUUUUGCUGAAGAUGGUUUCGACGAUCCCCGCGCCUCUCGCCAACCUGUGGGCUGGAAGGAAACUGGGAAAAAGCAAAAGAGGGAAUAUCUUUAUUUCCUCAUUUUUUUGGAAGAGCUGUCUGGGGUGAUGGGGGAUAUUUUAAGGGCUUUCUCAAGCCUUGAAAUUCUGAUGAUAAAUCUUGCAUGGCUGCCUAAGGACUAUCAUGUUACAGGAGCUGUUCAGGAGACGAGUGGACAUUGCCCUGCUGGUUUAAUUAUUUAUUUAUUGUUUCCAAAGGAUUGCAUGUGUUUAGACAGGACAAGGAGGGGAAGGAGGAGCCAAUGGAUUCACAGCCUUCCACAGAACACUCUUGUGCUUCAACUUGCCUAUUCCUGAUUAUUUUUGACACUGGGUAGCUGGAACACAAUCAAGAUAGGAUCAUUGCUAAGUGCAGCAGGACAGGGAACGUGAGGAAUUUUCCCAAGGAUGAGAGCACAAAUAUCUUUAAACACAACAAAUAGCUUUGCACAUAUGACAUCUUUUUGCCAAGCUCCUCAAAAUACAUCAAUUAGAUAAGCUAAACAUAAUUAAAUUUUUGCAUAGGAUCAUUAGGGGCAGCGUAUUCCCAUUUUUCAUCUGGGCAAACGGAGGGACAGAGAGCUGGAAAAAUUCCUACUAGCCCAGAAGUUAUCAAUAUAGUCAGGUCUCAAAGCUGGUAGUUUCCCUUUUAAGUUGUUUAUUUCCUUUUUUGGUGGGAAAAGAGGCCCCACUAACUUGUGCAUUCGCAUUUGGCAUCUCAGGGGGCAGAAAACCUCUUUAUGGAGGUAAAGGUGGCUUAGUGUCAGUCAUUUAAUCUCUUCUUUCCAGCCCAUGGUGAUCGAUGGAGAAAUCUGCCUGUUAUUUUGGAUGGGGAGAAGUAGGAGAAGUUCUGUGGAUGUGUACCUAGGGAGUUGUGUAUGUGCAUGAAAAAUACAAAAUUUAUGAAAAUAUGUAAAAUAUAUUAAUAUAAAGACAUAUAAAACUCAAAAUACGACCUAAAAAUGACUCUAAAAAGAAGUGGAAACAUGAGUGCUUGCAAACACUUGCAGAAUAUGUUCCCCAAAGGUGUGUAAUGCUGCUGCAAAUAAGAAAACCCUUUGCCAAGUAGGGAAAGCAGCUCUUACCUGCUGACUGAUGGGAAAAUACAUUGUCCAGGGAACUUGCUGAGUACUCCAGUGCUGGCUUGACUUCGUGUCCAGGGUGUAGAGGGCCAGGACUCUGGGCUGGGAUCCAGGAGGACCAGAGCUCAAGAACUGAGCUCAGGAUUUAAGCAAACUCAAGAUCUCUGUGUGUGGAUUCAGGUCAUCCUGGGACUGUGAGAUCGAGCUGAACUAGACGUGGACAGAGCCAAAUUCAUCCAUGGCAAGCCCAGGAAGGGAGCAGAAACAAAUAUUGCUGCUUGCUUUAAUGAUUUAAAUAAUCCCACAUAUUAGGGACAGACUGCUUUUGCAAAGUUUAGGCUGAAAAAAUGAUCAGAGAAGCCAAGAAAUUUCUAAGCAACUCUUCAGAGUAAUAUUUCAUGAGAUCUUGAAAUUUUUCCUCCUGAGAAUAGUACUUAUGUAGUUAAAAAAAAGUAAUUCAACUGUGUAUUGUCCUCACAGGAGAAAGUUUCUAAUUUUUAAGCAUGAUUAUAUUGCAUGUCUUAAAUUUGGGGUUCCUGGGCUUUGAGCAUUUGAGUUUGAUGCUUGAACUCUUAUGUGUUUCAUUUAGGAUUUCUGGUUUAGUUGCACUUAAAUAACUAGAGAGAGCAUUUUUCUGAAUCAACACUUGUCAGCAUUUAGGGAAAUUGAAGAUAAUUGUGAUUCUAUGAAAUUCUUGUAUUUGACUUUUUUUCCCUUAUAAUAAUAUAUGCACGGGCCUAAAUCUGAUGAGUGUCACUGUUGUUUAGCAAGAAUAAAAAGGCUAAAAGCUAAAGAACCUGCAGUUUGCUUUCUCCUCCCUUAAGCAGAUGAGCUCCCUGUCAUACACUACUAAAAUAUUCUCAUAAAGCCCCAGUUGAAAAGAAUUUUUGGGUUGUAACCCUCAAGACUUUGAGAUUUUUAAAUCCUGACACUUCAGGAUUAAAAAAAAACCCACCCACGUAUCUAUCAGGGAAUGGUGAAUACAUGUUUGUGUAGUUUGCCGUAUUUGCAUUUGUUGGUAAUUAAUUAAAAAACAUGAGUUUAAUUAAACUUGGAGUUAGGGGAUUCAUUAAAAUAAAAACAAAAAGCAUUUCAGUUAAAAAUGUAAAAUAACGUGUUUGCCUGAGUUUGCUGGUGCAGCUUAAGGAUUUGCAGUGGGGAAACUUUAGGGACUAUCACACUGCACACAGUCAGAGAAGUUACUGAACAAAGAGUCUUUGUCAGCAGAUAAAUUUCACCUUGUAGUUACUCAAAUUGGAAUAACAAUUGGAAAAACAACUUUUUUGCCCUCAGUUUCUUUCUGGGCUGACUCUGUGGCUAUGAAAAAAUGACAGCCAUAGAAGCCCGAAAGAAAGGGUUGCAGCAUAACUGGAAGGAAGGUUAUUAAAAUAAGAUAUAGAGGGAGAAAAAAUGAUGAAAAAGCUUAAAGAGAAGAGGUAUAACUCAUCAAAAACUCAAGACUAAAUUACAUCUUCCUGUUCAUACUAUUAUGAAAAAUUCUCUUUUCAGUCUUUUAGUCACAAUUCACUGCCUUUAGAUUAUUUUUCCCUUUGAGAAUCAUGGAAGGGGCUUGGUUUCUAAGAAAAGACAUGUUAGAAUGUUGAAAGUAGGAACAGAAAAAAAAAAAAUCACCUCAAUGGAGAAUUAAAAUGUUUAUUAAGUAGUUUACUCUGCUGCCUUUGAUUUUGUCUCUCUUGCAGGAUGGGGCUUAUCCCUCCAGCAGAAGUGUAUGAACAGCAAAAAUCUUGAAUUUUUUGUAGCCUGUGCCAUGAAAAUUGCCACCUAGAACAGAAGUGAAACCCUUUUGCUCUCUCAGACUGAAGGGGUUUAGUGAAGGUCUCCCAAAGCAGUCACUCAGGUGGGAUUUUUGCCUACAAGGACCUGCACAUGCUGCUGGCUCCAGAGGCUUGGGACAGACACUGAUGGCAAUGUCACUGCCACCUCUGCUCUCCCGGGGUGGGGGAGUGGUGAAAAAUCACUGACUUCCAUCAAACUGCCUCAAAAAUCAAGAAUUCCUACUUUAUUCUUCCCCUGAAGUAUUUAAUAUGGGGAGGAAACAAUUAUAAUAAUGGAAUAUAAUACUCCCUAAAAAAUUCCAAGUUGCAUUCGUUAGACUAAUUUUCCUAUGAAAUUAAUUUAAAACACCUCAGCAACAAAUAUGAAAUGCAUUAAAAAAGAAAAAAAAAAAUCUCAAUUAAUUUGCCUGGAGGUACAUCAUGGCUUGGCACUGCCUGGCAGGAUGUUGGAGGACAACUUUGGUGUGUGAAGGAGCAGGUUUAAAAGGAGAAAAAACCCACCACAGAGAAAUAUUUUGCGUCUCUUUGAGAUAAGAAACCAUCUGUGGGUGCCCAUUUCCUGCAGGGUUGGGCAGGAGGAUCCCACUUUAGCAAAACACCUGCACCCAGCAGGGAAGGUGGCCCUGGCAGGCAGCAGAUGCUCCACAGCUGAAGCCUUUCAAAGGAGACACCUUUAGAGCUCCUGCCCUUAUGGGAUAACUGAAUCAUCCAUAAAUAGUCUUUAAAGGCAGCAUUGUCUGCCUGAAAAAAAAAAAAAAAAAAAAGAAAAUGAAAAAAAGAAUGGAAAGAAAAACGAAGUAGGGGUUUUGUGUGUGGGUAAAGUAAAUAUGGCUGGAAAUACAUGACUUGUUAAAAGCUUUUUGAGGACCCCACACUCACGAAAUCUUUUAGGUCAUGUGUUUGCUUUCUGAAACAUUUGGUAAGUAAUAAGUGCCAAGGGACUAUAUGCACUCCAUCUGGAAUUAGCAGAUUCCUCUUUGUUCAAUUGUUCCUAAAUUUGGAACCAGCCGACUUGUUUAAAAGUAUUUUGAUUUGCUUUUAAAUAAAUAUGGGAGAUAAACAUAGCCCAGGACCAGGAAAGGUACGUUAUUAGUCCUCUCCCUCUCUCCACACAACUCUUAAAGGGCCAAUUCUGUUGAUUGCUGUUGGUUUAUGGUAACAGUUUGUUUGGAGUGGUCCAUCAGUUUUCUUCAAUUUUUAUAAAUAGUAUCAAAGAAAUCAGAGCUGGAAAAGGAAUUAUUAGAUCACUGAAUCCCCUCUGCUGCCAGCACAGUCCUGCUCCUUACAGAGUAUUUUUUCCAUUUCUUUCUCCAGGUUAAACUUGGAAUUAAGUUUAGUGCCUGUAGGUCUAAGGAGAGGUACAAGAGUAGGUGAUUUCACUCUUUUCUGCUUUCCUAACAAGAAAAAUACCUAAUUUUCAUCUCCACCAUCCCUACACAAGGAAAUGGCGUGUCAAAAGAUCAAGUAGAUGUCUGCUCCUUGCAGGUGUGGUAGAUUACUACCUCAUCCCUGUAAAACUGUAAUUUUUGCUGGGGGAAAGAAGAAAAGGAAGAGAAAAGCAGCACUUCUCUUAUCUUCCCUUAUGUCCUAUAACAUCUAAGAGUCUGAGACCAGAACACCUGCUUGUCCUGUAGGCGUAUGAAAAGAAACUGCAUUUCCUUUAGGGCCUUUAAAAUGCAUUUAGACACAAGCCUUUACAAAUAUCUUUGAGAAAACACUUUAAAGAAUUGAAAAAGCAAACUGGAAUAGCUCAGAAUUGCACCGAAUUCACGAUACAGAAUUGAGCUGGAGGAAAAAUUUCAGCCCGAAAAUGUUUUCAAUGAAAAGCUUGUAAAGCAGGGCUCAGGAAGGGCUGUCCAAUGUUGUUACGCUUGGCGUGUGAAUAAUUCUGCAGAGGUGCAGAUCUGUAGAUUUGGGAUCCCAGCCUAAGAUGUUCAGGCUGUAUGUGUUGGUCUGUUUCCAUGGAUUGGAAGGGAGCAGUGCCUCCUUACUCCAGCUGGGGAUGGAUGAUCCCGCUCUGCACCAGCUGCAGAGGAGGCUUAGGGAGACUCUCCUUCCUAAGCCAGAGCUGGCCUUCCUGAGCUGUGUCUUACCAAGCAGGAUCAAAGUCUUUAUCUAGUUCACGGCUGCUCAGAAUUUCUUUUCAUCCUGCCUUUAUUCAGAGUAAAAGCAAACAUUUUAUUUCUGCUUCAAGCUUUCCUAGGACUGCAAGCAGCGCAGCACAAGAUACAUAUUUCCCUGUCUCUACAAGGCCUUUUUAUUUGGUCUAGAUACACAUCUGUAAGUAUUUUACCCUCUCAUAUAUUCAUAUAUGCUGCAAGUCAAAGGAGCUUAAGUUUUCACUGCUUGCACUGCAUUGCAAUCACUCUGUUUCAUGGGGUGCUUCGGAUGUGUUGCAUCUCAGCAGCCUCAGGCCUUCUCUAAGUCACUGUUCUGACCUUCCCAGCAAGCAGGAACUGAAACUAUACUGAAAGAUUAGUCUGGGAUACUCAAAACAUAACCAUAAUCUCUUCUACCUCCUUUCCUAUUCCAGUCAAUCCUUGUUUUGAGGAUCAAAUCUGGAUUUCCUCCAUGCUGGAGGAAAGUCUGUCAGCAUGAUGAAGUAUCAGCAUCACUCAGAAGGACCUGCUGAGGACCCAGUGUUUGGGCUUGGCCCAUCACUGGUUUAUCAUUUUUAAAUCUAAUUUUGGUUUUUGUAGGACAAGAAAUGAAAAAAUACUCAUUCUUGCUCCAAAGAACUGAACUAAAAUCUUGUCAUUGUCACCUGUGAGAGGACAGAACCCCAGUUGCUCUCUGCACAUCUGCCCUGAUCAUCAUGGAAAUCUGGAGUGGCUGAACUGCAUCCUUGUUUCCAAGUGUGGAUAUUGCACAGCCAGGCACUGACUUUCAGAGAGGGUUCACCACCUUUUUUUACCAAUACUGUGUUGGAGAGUUCUUGAGAUAAAUACGAGCGGUGUAGCCACAGGUGAAAUCUCUCUUUUCUUUAUCAACUUGUGAUUGCUCUAAUCUGCUCUUGUUUGAAACAGCAGCAGCCCAAAAAGUGAUGUUUCUGUGAAGGCUCCCUUCAUGGGGGAAGGCAGUAAUGGGAGACAUAAAUAAUGUCCUGGCAUUUUUUAGAAAUACAGUUAUACUUUUCUCCUGUUGAUAAAUACACAUCAGAUGUUUGGUAAACCAAAUUCUCCCAGGAGCUUGUCCCAAAAGAGGGAAAGACAAUGAUUUGGAGUCUACAUCUGCAGUCUAAGCUGCUUUGGUGCCUGCUGCUGAGAGAAUUCCCUGCACCAACAGCCUCCCCAUGCUGGGCUUAGAGCUCUUCCCAAAGCAGGAGCCCAAGGGGACCUAAUGCUGCUCCUAACCCACUGGAAAGGCAACGAGGGGACAGCCACCACCUUCCAUUGCAGGUGGAAAGGGACUCCCUGGUGACAGGGAUCAGAGGAGACAUCCUCCUGAACUGAAGGUCAGCAUGGUGGGAUGCUGGUUUGGCACAGGUGUGUGCCCAAGCUGCCAGGAGGAGCUCCUGAAAGGUGUGCUUGGCUGGGGAGGUCUGCUGGAAUGUCUUCAGUGGCAGGAACCACUUCAGGGACAUCUCUGUAACCAGGCAGCUGGGGAUGUGAAGGAGUUCUGGAGCAAAGUCAGACAGGGAAUGCAGCAGCUCCAGCCACUGCAGCAGUACCGUGUCAGUCUUUGCAGCCUUCAUGCAAAACCCACCUUCUUUACUGAGAAUCUCAUCUCCUUAACGAGCCAGUGACACAGCUAAGGCUUCAGUAAUUAAAAUAGUGUCAUUACUUCUUACUGAUGUCAGCACCACGGAGGAAGGGGAGAGAGACAGGUAAGGUAGGCUGGCAACAUCACUGGGGAACAGAUGUUUGGUUCCCUGCUUCCUCUGCUGCCAGAAAAAUAAACAGCAUUGGUUCCUAAAGGUAUUAAAUGCCUAAAUCCCGUGGAAUUCAAAGUAAGUGAGUGGCUAAACACUGUGGAGAUCUGGGUUUAAUCUCUGUAUGCCUCACCUGUCCUAUAAGUAGAAUGAUUAUUUCCUGUUCUCAGUAAAGAAAAAUAAUACAUAAUUGUGGAAAACAAGGUA